rnacentral:lncRNA from 1 species
UACUCCAAGUGAACCCAAUGGUUUGGUAAAGGCUUAUUUUAAUAGUCAGUUUGAAGUAUUUUUCAAUUAAGUGACAUAGGAAAUUGUUUCUUUUUACAGAUUUUCAAAAGAAUUGCGAGAUUAUAACUGGCAUGAACCUAGCAGUUGAUUGUGUUAUGUAUGAUCAAAAGACAAUUCAAUCUCUGAUUUUUUUUCCUCAUCUUAAGGAACACACUAGAUCAACCAAAGGACAACUAAGAAUAUAUGUCAAAAGAUUCUGGAGCAAAGUCCCUGAAGAGAACACAUUGAAGCAACAGGUGAUAACUAUAAAGGCCUGGUGUGUGUGCUCAGCUAUUAUUUAUAACUUUAAAGAGCAACUGAAUGAUUUUGGACCUCUGCUGAAAUUCAAACCAAAUUAGAAGCCAGACGGUUGUUACCCAUAAUCCCCACAUGAGAUGAAUCCCAGGAAGCCCAUCUGCUUGAAUUCCCCAUUUCCACAUGGAAGUUAGGAUCUCCAGCUAUUCAUAAUCUGGUGAGUCAUUUCAUCUUUUUUCUUUUGUCAUGUGUGCCAAAGAAAAUUUCUGCUGAGGAAUAUAAGGAAUCUAAAUUCUGACUGGUGUCUAUGGAGCAUAUAGUAAAUGGUCCUUAUCAUGAAUAUCUGUAGAAAACUCAGAAGGGUAGAACAUAAUAUUGUGCAUGUUAUAAACUAAAUUCUAUUCUCAACUAUAGCUACUCAGGACUUCUAAUCUUGACUGUUAAAAUCAACUUCCCAUUUCUAGUCUCCUCCCCUGGCCCAUCCCAUCCAUGCACUACCAGAUUAAUCUUUCAAAGUAGCUCUGUCUAAUAGAAUG